rnacentral:tRNA from 1 species
GCCGAGGUGGCGAAAUUGGUAGACGCAGUAGACUCAAAAUCUGCCGGUGGCAACACCAUGAGGGUUCAAGUCCCUCCCUCGGCA